UAGUUUCAAGGGUGUGCCAGAUGUGGA
rnacentral:sRNA from 1 species